CAUCCUCUGAUGCCGAUUCUUGCUCCAGUUACUGGUGCAAGCUGCUCACACAGGUCCACUGCCUGUGCUGCUGGAUGGACACCUUGGGACUCCAGACAAAGACUCUUCCUCAUUUAUUUCCAAAACUACAGCGUUGGUGCUCAGGAGCUGAAAGGCAUCCCAGAUGUCCCACAGACCUUGGCAGUGGCAGUGUCCAGCAAUGGAGCUGAUAACACACACUCAGCCAGUGCCUUGUGACAGUCUGGCUGUAUCAGAAUUUCCUUUAAAGCAACAUUUUUUACUCCACUUACAAUAAGCCAGCUUGUUCUGCUGCUUCAGUACCAGCUGUAAACUCCAACCUGCUUCCUGGGGGUGCUCAGCACGGCCCUGCAGGCACCACACCAGCCCCAGGCAGUGUCACAACCCAACUCUGAGUGACAGUGUUCCACAGCUCAGAAGGUAUUUGCCAUUUGGCCACACUUCCUGUGCUUGUCCUGAUCAUUCCCUGAUCAUUCAUGUUCCUGACCUGGCAGCCAGUGUGUGGUGCUCAGGCUUGAGGGAAAAUCAGCAGCGAGUGCCUGGAAGUGCAGUUGAGUCAUGUUGUACCUCACUAUUCCUGCUUAAUGUGCCUGGCCACUGGGAAAAGACUGAUGGAUCUCUUACCAGGAAAUCCAACCAUUCUGAUUUUAUUCUGCUCAGAAUGAAUUUACUUCACCUCUCCUCCACCUGGUCAUAGCAAAGCAAAGAUGUCUUUCUACUUCUCCACCUCCCAUGGCCUUGCUGAGUGGCACUGUGUAACUCCAGUAUGAUUUUGUCUCUGUUUUUCCCCAUCUGCAAAGAUGGUGCUGGUGAUGCUGGCAGGUGUCCAUGCCACAGUGUGUGAACCACAACUGAGAUAUUGCCAGGAUGAUAUUUAUGCAAAGAAACAAGGAGAGAAGAUGCAUCUGGGGAGAAAUGUGGAGAGAAACAACAUGGAACAAGUUAGCAAAAUUGUGAUAAAGGCACUUACCUUUGUUCCUCACCAGACUGGAGGAUGCAAUGUGCUUCCAGAUGUCACUGCUACUGUCUUGGUUUCCAAGGUCUGUUAUCUUUGUCAAACAAGAGCUUCCCCUGUGGAUAGUCCCAACAAAGAACCCAAAUUCCAAGAAGUGGAGCAAAUGUUUUCUGAAGCACUGCUAGCCCAGGACAGCUCAAAACCCACAUGUACAAAGACGAGAAAAUACACGUCUAUUUUGAAAUAUACCACGUCACAGAUGUAGCCAGAGAAGAAUGAUGUGAAGGUGGAGAGGAUGCUGAAAGGAAAGGCUGAGAUAUCAACCCAGCAAUGCUGGGAUCUUCCCACUGCUUGGAAAAUGGGGUCAGUAUAGAAGAGCUCCCAUUACCUAUGGAGAAAUGAGGCACAGAACAAGGUUUCAGCCUUCCCAACAUCUCUGGGCAUCUGGAGCAGCAUUAAGAGUACAGUAAAGGGAUCUCUACUCCAGAGUGAUGUCCCAAACCUUGUUUUCCCCACCCAUUAGAAGCUGUGAUCACAGCCUCUGAAAAUUCCCUGUGGCCAGCCUAGGAAUUAUCAACCUUUUCCAGAGCCCUAUUACCAAAUGGCUUUAAAAAUGCAGCUAUCUUUUAAUUUUGCAUUUGCUAUAAAAUGUAUAAAUCAUACAGCUGCAAUUUUUUUGGCUUUGUAGCAUAAUUAAUUCCAUAGAUGUUUAAAAUCCAUGCUUGUGCCAAUCAUUGAUUGUCAAAAAAGAAAGAAAAGCAGGCUAGUUUGGAUAUCUAAAUAGUUCUCCCUCAUAAAAAAAAAGAGCCCUUAAAAACAGCCUUCAAGACCUACCUGAUUUAAUUAUCUAGUAAAUUUUCCUUUUUUUCCAGAUAAAAUUAGCAAUGAGCCUAUCGAUUUUUUGUGUAGCUGGAAAUGCAUAGGUAGAGCUAAAAUAAGGGUAAAUAAAACAUGAUGGACUCUCA
rnacentral:lncRNA from 1 species